AUGGCCGGAAUUGUCCACAAGGAGUUUGCUGAGUUGGCCCAGACGGGGAUGAACUACCUGUCAUGGGCUUCGGACCGUGAGAUUUUUCUCCAGGGCAAAACCCUCCUGAGGGCGAUCGGUAAGGGGGCCCAGCUGGCCGCCACUGACCCCAAGUUCGAAACUGAGAAUGCGCAGGCUCUGCACUUUCACCGUCAUCACCUGUCACCUACUCUGAAAGAUGAGUAUAUGGCUGAGCGCAGUGCUUCUGGCCUUUGGACCGCUCUUAAGUAGCGGUUUGAGCGGCUGAAGUACAUUGUUAAGCCACGUGCAGAGGCAGAGUGGAUCCGUCUGAGGUUUGCGGACUUCAAGACGAAGAUUGAGAAAACCCUAUCCACUUUCCACCCUGACGCGGUCGCCGCACGGAACUACCGCCAGGGCAACUACACGAGGUAUUCAGAGUUGAUUGACGUCCUCCAGGUGGCAGAGGCACAGGACAAGGUUCUGAAAAAGAACUUUGCUGCGCAACCACUUGGGGGGAGUUCUCGCCAGGAGGUGAAUGCUCUCAAAGUUUGCAAGCCUCAACAAAAGAAGAGGGGCCGCAAGGCGGUAAAGCAGCAAAAGCCGGGCAAGGGGGGGCAAAGGCCUCAGGACUGCUUUCGGUGUGGCUCGGUGGAGCAUUUCUCCCGCCAGUGUCGAGCCCCACAGGAGGUCGUUGAUGCAUAUAAGGCCGGAAGGCGCGUGAGACGCACCUCGCCUUGGUUCAGGAGGGAGCACCACUGGCGCCCAUGGCGGCACCCGUGA
rnacentral:rRNA from 1 species